CUGUCAUCCCCAGCCUGGGGGUGGGGGCACUCACGGGGGCGGGAAGGGGCGGCGCUGACAGUACCCGCCGGGGUCCGCGUCUCCCCGGCCGGCUGGGAGCGCACCGCAGCGGGCGAGCCCUGCCCGCCCCCGCCGCCGCCCAGCCCGCUCCAUGGCGUGGCCCUGCAUCAGCCGCGUGUGCUGCCUGGCCCGCUUCUGGAGCCAGCUGGACAAGUCCGACCUCUCGGUGCCGCUCACCAUCCACAGCUACUCCGACAUCGAGGAGCCCGAGGAGGCGCCGAGCCCGGCGCGGGGCGGCCCCCGGCGGGGCGCGGCGGCGGAGGGCCGCCCCCGGGCAGGCGGCGGAGAGCCGCCGGCCGGGCCCCCCCCCUCGCAGGACAGCCUGGCCGUCAAGCGGUCGUGGAAGGGGGGGAGCCACAAGCGGGGCCCGGCGGCGCCCCCCGGCAGCCAGCCCUUCGCCGCCGAGACCCAGUACCGGCAGGACUUCCGAGCCUGGCCCCUGCAGCCGCGAGACGCCUGCCCCUGGGCCGGCGAGGGCAGGAGAGACGGGCCCCCCGCCCCGGCCAGGUCCGUGUACGUCCUGCCCGCCGGGGACAGGGACCCGCGGCCGGAGGCCAGCAGCCGGCUGGGCGGCUUCCCGCAGGGCGCUGCCAACACCACCUCCUACAGGAGCUGGACUGGCAUUCUAUCCAGAAGAGGGCAGCGUUUAAGAUGCUAUCCAGAAUUCCAGCAUAUUAUAGGCAGGAGUAUCGUCCAUGGACCGGAGCCAAACCGUCGAAGCCCAUAAAGACAAAGCAAGGCUUCAUUAUUCCAGAAGAUCAUUUUGUGCAAGAGACUAGCUACAGGGCAGAUUUUAAGAUUCCAGAAGCGAAGACCAAGUUUUCCCGCAACCCUUCUGCGGUUUUCCAGGCUCCCUCUCGUAUCCUCAACGUGUGAACCUGGAUCUGGUUCACGUCCAGGCAGCUUAAAUGUGGGUUGUUUGUAAAAAUGUCCUGCUAUGCAACUUUCAUGCAGGGUGUUAAGAUCAAAGAAACAAUAUUAUCAAAAGCAGCUACAGUGAGUAAUGAUAUAUACAUAAUAUCUGUGAAUACACAAAUCACGAAGCACUUGAUUUGGAACUGGCAAAACAGACUGCAAGGGAUGACCUAGUUUUUGUAGAAACAGGCUCAUUACUAUGCCAGCUGGUAUCACAUUAGGAGAUUGACUUUGGGCAGCAAAGACAGCAUUGCAGACAAUGCCCCUACAGUUAGCUGCAUUUGUGGGGGGGAAAAAUCACAAAUGGAAAUUAUAACUAAAACCAAAACCAGUGCUAUUUAACAGACCCGUCUACAGUAGGUCAGUGAAAGAGAUGGUGAAUGAUCCAAGCUGACUUUUGAACUUGUUUUUAUUUUUUUGAAGUUUGAAAUAAACAAGAAAGCAUCUCACACAUACAUGGAAAUACUACACCAAAUAGUAUAACUUCCGUGGCUGGCAUGGAUUUCAGUGGUGUUUUAGAAGUUUUUUGGCAUGAUAAUACGCUGAAAAAAAAAAUCAGACAAAAAGUCACUAGGGCUUCGUGGCUGAAAGCUGAAUAUUUCAAAGUUGGAAAGCCACCUUAGGUGUAGUUUGAAUUUCUAAAGAACAAACAAUAGCAUGAGAGAGAAUCAAGAAAGUCCUGAAAAACAAUGCCUCAACUUGGCUCUUGUCUGACAGCAAACUCAUUAGGUCAGCUCAGAUAACUACUGUGGAUUGUAUGGGCCAGAAUCUAAAAUAUUUAUGGAUGUAAUUUGUAAUGGUCAUGCUUAAGGUAUAUGUAUAUAGUGUACAUGGAUUUUGCAUAAUGGAAUCUGAAGAUUCUUUAAUAAAGGGAUAUGCUUAAACUUUUAUUAAAUACUAUUUGCUUAUGCAAGAUGGAAAAUAUAUUGCCUUGAAACUACUGAAUUAUUGCCUGUAUAUUGGUAAUGCUAGUGCUAAAAAUAACCAGAGAUGAAUGUUAUAUGGAUACGCUAUUUUAAAAAAAAGCAGAAUGUAGAAUGUAAUUCACACCUUCAUUUUUAAAAAUGGACCAUUUUAAAUUUAAUUAUUCUAAAGAUUACCUUUUUUUUUAAAAGAUAACUGAUGUGGAAUUAACUUUUACUCAUUCUGUUUUAAUAACCCUUUCCUAGUGCUCGUUCAUCUAGAUUGUGAUAAGCUUAGAGUUUUUAUCUAAAGGGUUUAUGCAAUAUAGUUAAUCUAUUUCUAAUUUAACAUUUUUCCUAAUUUUCUUUCAAAAAUGUCAUAUAGAAAAAAGUUAUAGUUUGUGUGUUAGAAAUUUGUCUAUUAGAAUGAAAGGAAAUGUUACCCUCAGACUUGACCAGUAAUCAGUUAUUCAUUCAUCUGCAACGAAACUGACUUUGAUAAAAUGGGAAGUUACAGAAAUUUUCUCUCAACAUUUUCCCAGCUCAAGUCAAAGGCUGGUUUAGUGAUCCUUUGGACUAUACAAACACAGUCACAUUGCCAAUCAUCUCCAUAAGAACGACUCUUGAACUGGAGGCUGGUGGACUAUAUUUGAAAUGUAUCUAGAACGUACAUUGCAUUAGAUAGGAAUUUAAUGGAGCCGGUUCCAUUAAAGCUGGUACGAUUGAGCCACUAAGACUCAACCGUGAGUAAAGAUAAUAUGCCCAUUAAUGUCAGUUUCUUUGGGAUGGGGGAUGAAAUUUCUUGCACUCUUCAGAUUUUAUGUUGGGACUUAUUGCCAGAUGAAUCUGCAGUAUUUAACAUCAGUACUUGCAGAAAAAAAAAUGUAUCUAUCUCAUUUUGGGGUGGGGGGGGGAAUCAUAAUUUUUUCUGGAAACUGACUGAAAUAUUCAAACUGCACUAAAUGUUUUGCAUGUUAAAUGUUUCUAAGAAAAAAAAUGUAUAGUCUGCUUGAUUAAUCUGUUUAUAAAGUUUUUAACAGUUCAGUUAAUUUCACUCUUGGAUUUUACUAUUAGCAAAAAAACCCCAACACAUACUGCCUACUCAGUUUGUUUUCUUAAUUUACUAUAUUUCUACAAAACAGUUGUAAACAAACUGGUAAUACAUGAAGCUUGUAUUUUAUCAAAUGGACUGAAAGUUAAUUUAAUAAAAUGUAUUUUGGCUACUGG